UACGGGGGGAGCAAGCGUUGUUCGGAUUUACUGGGCGUAAAGGGCGCGUAGGCGGCCACCGCAAGUCGAUUGUGAAAUCUCCGGGCUUAACCCGGAAAGGUCAACCGAUACUGCGGGGCUAGAGUGCAGAAGGGGCAACUGGAAUUCUCGGUGUAGCGGUGAAAUGCGUAGAUAUCGAGAGGAACACCUGCGGCGAAGGCGGGUUGCUGGGCUGACACUGACGCUGAAGUGCGAAAGCCAGGGGAGCGAACGGG
rnacentral:rRNA from 1 species